AAAAAACCGAAACUUAGGCGGACCCAGCCUCCUGCCGCCUCCACCCCCUCUAGCCACUGUCACGGGCUGGGGAGCAUAGAGUUCAGAGUAUCCUUUGCUUUGUCCCGUGGGCGGGACCUAGGCUGAGGGUGGAGCACCUUAGGGCAGUGGGAUGAUUUUGGAAGCAGAGGGGCCCAGAAUCUCCAGAGGCGGCGUUGGCUUUUUGUGUCCUCCGCGUUCCAGAGCCUUACGCUGCGCACGGAGGCCACGCCGCGCUGCCAAAAGUCAAAGCAACUUUGCUCAUCCCGAAGGAACUAUUGUACUUUUGAGCGAAAGACUCCCCGGCUCCGCUGCCUUGCAGGCAUUCUUCCAGGAGCUUUCUCCCCCUGCAGGCCUGGGCUUUAAAUGCAGUUUGUUUUUUUACCGUGGGAUGCUGCUUUAUUCUUUGCGUUGGCGCCAAGAGCAACAUUCAAGCCCUAUCAAUUAAUUAUGGCCUUUUCGAGAAAAGGGGCUGUCCCUUAGGUCUACAGUUGGUGCUCCUGGCUUUACUGGCAGGCUGUGCUUUUGAAGUUUCUGCGUCCCUGCUCAGCCAGCAUGCUAUAUACAAGCAUGAGCAUGCCAGGAAGCCCAGCUUUGGUUUGGGCUUAGCAAAUAACUUACUUGGCUGCACAGAGACAUCACCAUCGUCUCCUGCACCUAAUUUCCUUCAAAAUUUACCAAACUGUACACUCAAAAUAUGUGUAAUUUACAUGUCAACAAAACUUGCUUCAAAAAGCACACUUCCAGGAUUCACAAAUCAGUGUCAGCCUAGCUUCUAAGUAACAAGUUAAAAAAAUGGCUCUUUUAAAAUCUAUUAUUCCUCACAUUGGAUAACUUGUCUGCUUUAAAAUCUUGAGUUUCUAUAGGUAUAGGAACACAGUUCUUACUUGCAGAGUUUUUCAUUAGCAUAUUCCAUUCAUAUUUUGCUAUUAUAAAAACUGAAGUGGGAGCCGGGCAUGGUGGUGCGUGCCUUUAAUCCCAGCACUCGGGAGGCACAGGCAGGCAGAUUUCUGAGUUCGAGGCCAGCCUGGUCUACAAACCAAAAAACAAAAACAAAAACAAAACAACAGGGUUGGAGAGAUGGCUCAGUGGUUAAGAGCACUAACUGCUCUUCUGAAGGUCCUGAGUUCAAAUCCCAGCAACCACAUGGUGGCUCACAACCAUCCCUAAUGAGACCUGAUGCCCACUUCUGGUGCAUCUGAAGACAGCUACAGUGUACUUAGAUAUAAUAAUAAAUAAAUCUUAAAAAAAAAAAACAACAACAACAAAAAACCCUGAAGUGGGGAGCAUCCCUCUGUUAAAGAACUGCAAAGAUAUAUAACAUCUUGAUUAUAGCAAGUUGAAAUUUUGCAGACACAAAACUAAAUUGUCGUGGGUUCCCUUAAUAGCCAUCCAUUGCCCACCUAAGAUGACAUUGUGACUACCAUGUGAAGUCUUUGGGGAUGUAUUAGAUAUCUAGCUUCCUCCAGCCCCAACAUGAAGCAUGUCAUCCAGCUAGCUGGUAUUUCCAUCACUGUCUUU
rnacentral:lncRNA from 1 species